GACGAACGCUGGCGGCGUGCUUAACACAUGCAAGUCGAACGGAAAGGCCCUGCUUUUGUGGGGUGCUCGAGUGGCGAACGGGUGAGUAACACGUGAGUAACCUGCCCUUGACUUUGGGAUAACUUCAGGAAACUGGGGCUAAUACCGGAUAGGAGCUCCUGCUGCAUGGUGGGGGUUGGAAAGUUUCGGCGGUUGGGGAUGGACUCGCGGCUUAUCAGCUUGUUGGUGGGGUAGUGGCUUACCAAGGCUUUGACGGGUAGCCGGCCUGAGAGGGUGACCGGCCACAUUGGGACUGAGAUACGGCACAGACUCCUACGGGAGGCAGCAGUGGGGAAUAUUGCACAAUGGGCGGAAGCCUGAUGCAGAAACGCCGCGUGCGGGAUGACGGCCUUCGGGUUGUAAACCGCUUUCGCCUGUGACGAAGCGUGAGUGACGGUAAUGGGUAAAGAAGCACCGGCUAACUACGUG
rnacentral:rRNA from 1 species